GGUGGGGCUCGUGGACUGUCUGAAUGGUCCUCCAGGGUGGGGCUCGUGGACUGUCUGAAUGGUCCUCCAGGGUGGGGCUCGUGGACUGUCUGAAUGGUCCUCCAGGGUGGGGCUCGUGGACUGUCUGAAUGGUCCUCCAGGGUGGGGCCCGUGGACUGUCUGAAUGGUUCUCCAGGGUGGGGCUCGUGGACUGUCUGAAUGGUCCUCCAGGGUGGGGCUCUCCUCGCCAGCCUCCCACUCGUCUAAGAGUUAUUGGUACUGUAGGUUUUAUCACAAAAUGAGUCUAUAGGACACUCCGUUUGGCCAUAUGGGUAAUACCAACAGACCACAUUGUAUCACUGCACUAUAAGUUAGGCUAAGUCAGCACAGUGAAUGGGACUCAAUGUAUGGUUUCGCCUCCGUGUGAACCAGGAAGAUGACUCUGUAAGGUAACAGCUGAAGCGCGUUGCCUGAAAUGCAUUUAAACAUGACUUAAUGCACCACUUCAACUCCACUCUGAAGUGUUAGACCUUUUGGUAGUCGGAGAAAGCAGGGUGCUUGUCAUGCUUGGUAUGCUGGUGACUCAUCAGCAGAGUGUCUGUGAAAGGGAAAGGGGGAUACUUAGUCAAUUGUACAACUGAAUACAUUCAACUGAAAGGUGUGUAACUCGUGUUUUCUGUAUGUAUGUGUGUGUGUGUCAGUCCUCUUGUCGGUAUAAGUGGGAAGUCACCCAGUCAAAGAGAUGGAGGUAAACAAGAAGCAGGUGUCUGGAUCCUCACCUAGACAGCGAUUCUUCACACUUCUCCUGUUAAACCUCACAGAUCCCCAUGCCUGUCAUUUUAUUCUUAUGGCUUACUGUGUGUGUUGAGCUGCAAGCUGUAACUCGAUAAGCUAAUUCUACCCCCAUUUUAAUUUGGGGCUCCCAAGGAACCUCAUGCAGAGUGGCUAGAUGCAUUACCGUGACAGCAAAGCGUAUGUCCCAUAAUAUAAAACUCAAGUUGUGACACUUGAGGCCUUUUACCUUUGUACACACUGGACUCCAACACCUCUUUAUUCGCUGACUUCAUCAUGACAGUGCGUCAGACAACACAUUAACACAUCCCACAGCUGCUUCUGUCACAUUUCACCUGGCUAGAAGCUACCAUAGACAAGUGAUUCCACCAUGUUAAAUACCAUUUAGUACAGUUACAACACAACCAGGCCUUUUCAUAUCAGUCUGUUGGUGAACCCAGUCCCCUGUACUGCACACAGUUUCUUAAGUGUUCCUUAAAUAUAAAGGGCUCUGGGUGGUUGGCCUGGUGCCAGCUUGGGUUGCCUGCCUGGGGUUUUCCUCUUAAUGACUCUGCCUUGUGAUCAGCCAGUCAACCAGCUGUCAGGCCCUGACCAUAGAGAGCCCUUGUUUCUCUAUGGUGUAGUAGGUCAGGGCGUGACUAGGGGGUGUUCUAGUUUAACAUUUCUAUGUUGGUGUUUUGGUAUGGUUCCCAAUUAGAGGCAGCUGGUAAUCGUUGCCUCUAAUUGGGGAUCAUAUUUAAGUAGCAAUUUUUUCCACCUGUGUUUGUGGGAUAUUGUUUUGUGUAUAGUGCAUGUAGCACCACGUAGUCACGUUUCGUUGUUCGUUUAUUGA
rnacentral:lncRNA from 1 species